rnacentral:rRNA from 1 species
GCUGCGGCAUGCCUAAUACAUGCAAGUCGAGCGAACAGAUGAAGUGCUUGCACUUCUGACGUUAGCGGCGAACGGGUGAGUAACACGUAAGGAAAUCUACCUAUAAGCGGGGAUAACAUUCGGAAACGGGUGCUAAUACCGCAUAAUAUCUUCUUCCGCAUGGAAGAAGAUUGAAAGACGGCUCUGCUGUCACUUAUAGAUGACCUUGCGGUGCAUUAGUUAGUUGGUGGGGUAAUGGCCUACCAAGACGAUGAUGCAUAGCCGACCUGAGAGGGUGAUCGGCCACAUUGGGACUGAGACACGGCCCAAACUCCUACGGGAGGCAGCAGUAGGGAAUCUUCCGCAAUGGGCGAAAGCCUGACGGAGCAAUGCCGCGUGAGUGAAGAAGGCCUUCGGGUCGUAAAACUCUGUUAUAAGAGAAGAACAAAUUGUAGAGUAACUGCUACAGUCUUGACGGUAUCUUAUCAGAAAGCCACGGCUAACUACGUG